rnacentral:rRNA from 1 species
CCCUUAGAUGUUCUGGGCUGCACGCGCGCUACACUGAUGCGCUCAACGAGUUUGUAUCCUUGCCUGGCAAGGUCGGGUAAUCUGUUCAAAACGCAUCGUGAUGGGGAUAGAUUAUUGCAAUUAUUAAUCUUCAACGAGGAAUGCCUAGUAAGCGCAAGUCAUCAGCUUGCGUUGAUUACGUCCCUGCCCUUUGUACACACCGCCCGUCGCUCCUACCGAUUGAAUGGUCCGGUGAAGCGUUCGGACCGUGGCCUUUGGACGGUUCGCCGUCUGUUGGCUGCGGGAAGUUCGUUAAACCUUAUCAUUUAGAGGAAGGAGAAGUCGUAACA